CACACACACACACACACACACGCACACACACACACACACACACACGCACACACAUUUCCUUCAUCAUCACUCUCUCCUCCUUAUUGCCUCUGAGUGAGAGAGAGACACUAGCUUCCUCUGUGUAGUAAAGCUCCAUUAAGCUGCUGCACUGCUACCUGCAGGCAUCACACGCACGCGCCGUACAGACACACGCGUAGUGUGCGCGUGUUCGUGUGUGUGAUCUUCAACCUUUAAGCACUUUGCAUUUUUACCUGCAGUGGACAUCACACACUGUCACGCGUGCACGCGCUUCCUUCGUCACGCACGCACGCACGCACACACGCUCGCGCACGCACGCAGCAGCAGCAGCAGCACCGAGGGAGCGAUCAAUACACUAAAAGCCCGGAGAGGAUUCCACCGGAGCGGACAGAAGAGAACCGGAGGACGACGGCCGGGAACAAUGAAGCACGGCCGCCAUGUCUAAAGCGACAGUGAAGAAGCUGCACUGGCGCUCGAAGGUGCAGGAGAGCUUCGUCCCGCUGGGUGGCGGCUCCAGUGAGCUGGGACUAGCCAUCGGGGGCGGGGCGGACUAUGGCGAGUUCCCAUUUGUCACCGCGGCCCACGGGGGCGGGGCUACUGUGGGCGAUAUCAUUUUAGAGAUCGGGGGGACGCCCGUGUUGGGGAUGACCCUCGGUGAUGUCAGAGGAGUCCUCAACUCCUGUCCUCAUCCAAUCAGAAUCAAGACUGUCUCACCAGGGUCGUCCCUCUGUAAGGACCUCAGGUUGUACCUCAGUAAGUGUUUCACUCCCGGCUCCGUGGACAGUCAGCUGCAGCAGCUCAUCAGAGAGAACCUGUACCUGCGAGCUGUACCCUGUACGACCAGGCAGCCUCGGGACGGGGAGAUCUCAGGUGUGGACUACAACUUCGUGUCCAUCGAGGAGUUCUUCUCCCUGGAGGAGUCCGGCGCUCUGCUGGAGAGCGGCAAGUUCAAAGGGAACUACUACGGGACGCCCCGCCCAGUCCACAUCGGUCCGGAGAGUCCACCAAUCACGUACCAGGAGCACCGAAACCUGCUGAGGAACUUCAGGACCAGGAGCAAGUCUCUGAGUAACCUGGAGAAGGCCGUGGAGGAAGGAGACAACAGCGAGGAGGACAGCGGCCUGUCAGCAGGUUCGGCUGGAGUCCCGCCCACCAUCCUGCCUCUCAGCCAAUCAUGGGAGUCGGCGGUGGGGAAUCGGGAGGGAAUGGAGAACGGAGGAGGAGGAAGAGGAGGAAGAGGAGUAGGAAGAGGAGGAGGAGGAACAGGAGGAGGAGGAGGAAGAGGAGCAGGAGGAGGAGGAACAGGAGGAGGAGGAGGAGCAGGAGGAGGAGGUCCUCUGCCUGAAAACUGGGAGCUGGCGUUCAGUGACUCAGGAGAGGCGUAUUACAUCAAUCAUCACUCAAAGACGACCAGCUGGCUGGAUCCUCGAACUCAGAGCAAAGAGACGACUCCCCUUACAGAACUCCCAGAGUUCAGCGAGCAGCCCGGCCAGCUGAAGGGUUACUCCAUCCACACCCGGCUGUCUAAAGGCCCUCGAGGCUUCGGCUUCAACAUCGUUGGAGGAAGUCGACCCAGAGAGUUCCUCCAGGUGUACAGUGUCACACCUGGAGGACCCCCAGCUCUAAACACAGCGGACAUCCUGGUCUACAUCAACGACAGCUGUGUGCUGGGUCGCUCUCACAAAGAGGUGGUGGAGAUGCUGAAGGCGGUGCCGAUGGGCCAGAGUGUGGACGUGGUGCUGAGGAGAGGAUACCCGAUGCUUUACAACCCGGAUGGGUGUCCCAAGCAGAGCCUGGAGACGCCGCAGACUCCCAGUGAGCCACCCUACCCCCCCAACGUGAACCGCGGCCCGACACAUCUCACCUUCAGCCGAACGCUGGACGCCAACGGCAGCACGCCAGGGCCAAGCCGAACUCCGCCCUCCUACGCUGCUCAGCCAAUGACAAACGGGCUGACGGGCCCGCCGACACCCACUUCCUCUGACCCUCCAUUGGGUCCACCACCCCCCCCAGAGAGGUCAGCAGCCAUCAAUCACAGUGACUCUGAUGGCGGCCUGUCAAACGCUGGAACACGCAGGUCUUCUCUGAUUCGCUACAACAGCAGUACCCUCCCCACCUUCUCCUCCUCCUCCCUCCUCCAACAUCAGAGCUCCAAGUCUUCAGAAAGCGACCUUUCUACGUCAACGCUCCCCAUGUCCUCCUCCACGCUCCCCAUCAGCUCCUCGUCCUCCCACACUCUGUCCAAACUACCCAUCUCUCAGCCAGCGUCCGGCCUCCUCCAAAACUCCACCAGCCCCACUGCCGCUAACAAACCCACCUCCUCUUCACCUCCUGGUGCUCCUGUGCAGCGCCCACCGAUGCCCCAGACUUCUCUCGCCCUGACCCCACCCAGAGACGUCCCAUCCUGCGGCUUCAACGGCUGUCCAGCCAAUCACCAAGUGCCCUCCCCAGCCUCCAGAGUAAACCCUGGGCUGGUGCUCCCCCUCGGGGCAGGGCCGCCAGGAGGAGCUCCUCCUGCAGAGCUGGUACCGGUGGCCCUCGGGCGCAGUGAGAGCGGGGGGCUGGGGUUCAGCGUAAUGGCGGGGGGUCAAGGAGGUCAGCUGGCAGUGGUGAGGCGGGUCUGGGAUCGAAGGCACUGCCCCUCGCUACAGACAGGGGACACUAUAGUGAAGAUCAACGGGGCGGACGUACAGAGCCUCAGUCUCUCUCAGGUCCAGAGAGUCCUGCAAGAACACACCAAACAGGGAGAGGUGGUACUCCUGGUCUACAGAGGAGGUCCCAUGUCUUCCCCAGUCGUCACCCCCAACCUCUACAAGCCCCUGCCCUCCCCACACGGCCUGGCCACCCCCUCUUCUUCCCACCCCCUGCCUUCAGCCGACUUGCCUUCCCCGUCCACGGGUGCCUUGGUGGGGGGCGUCCCCCCACUGAACCAGGCUGGCUUGGUCCUGGAGAGUCCCCAGGAGGGGCACCUACCAGCCCCAGGGACCCACCAAGGAGCCCCUGCUGCCCAGACUCCAAACGGGUCCCCAGUCUCGGCCCUCAUACAGAGCACCAGCUUCCUGGACUCCGUUCCCGUGACGCUGACCUUGGAGCCACGUGAUCUGCUGGGAGUCGAGGAGAGCGCCGGUGGGCCUCCUCCCUUCAGAGGGGGAGUUGGGGGAGGAGCACUGGGAGCAAUAGCCAAGGACGGAAGAGGGGGAGUAAAGACGGUGGAGGUGGAUCUGAGGAGGCGGGCGGGAGAAGGUUUUGGAUUUGUCAUCGCCUCUCAGGAAGUGACCAAUGGGGCCCCCUCCCUGGUGUCCCACCGGUUCGUCACCGUGCGGCGUGGCAGCCCGGCGGCUCGCAGCGAGCAGAUCCAGCCUGGAGACCAGCUGGAGGCCGUAGAGGGUCGAGGGGUCGGAGGUCUGCAGCACCGAGACCUGGCCCAGAUCCUGAGGAGGGCCGGGAACACCCUGAGACUGAGCAUCACCCCCCGACACCACUCGUCCUCUGUGUUGGGAGCAGAGCUGGACAUGAAGUCAUCCAGAGGGAGGUCAAAGGAGUCCAGGUUCUACAAUGUGGAUCUGGAUAGAGGUCCAACAGGGUUCGGGUUUUCUCUGAGGGGGGGCAGCGAGUACAACAUGGGGCUCUAUGUACUGGGACUGAUGGAGGGGGGGCCGGCCCAGCGAAGCAACAAGAUCCAGGUGUCGGACCAGCUGGUGGAGAUAAAUGGAGACAGUACAUCAGGGAUGACUCACAGUCAAGCUGUGGAGCAGAUCAGGAGAGGAGGACACCGGAUUCACCUGGUCCUCAAGAAGGGAAACGGAUACGUGCCCGACUACGACCCUGAGGAAGGAGCCCUCCCCCAGUCCUCCUCUUCACGCGCAGAGGAGGAAGAGGAGGAGACAUUAACCAUUACAACCGCCUCCCUCAGCCUGCAGCGAGGAGGAGGAGGAGGAGGAGGAGGAGGAGGAGGAAGAGAAAGAGAAAGAGAAAGAGAAAGAGAAAGAGGGGAGAAGAGGAGGAGGAGAGAGGGAGAAACCAAACAAAGAACCGGAGGACGAAGAGGAGAAGAAGGAGCAGGGCCUCCUGAUCUGGACCUAGACGUGGUAGAGGAUGAGGCACGAGAGGAGGAUGAGGAAGAGGAGGAGAGGAGGAGGAGGAGAAGCCAGACCGUCAAGCAGAGGGAGAAGCGAGACAACCAGAAGGAGCAGGGGAGGAGGAGCAGGAGCUUACCCAGGAUCAGUGCUCUAUCCUGGGACGCAUUGCCACCACUUAAGGAGGCGCAGGAGUCUGGAGGAGGAGUGAAGGAGAGGAGGAGGAGGAGGAGGAGGGUGACAGAGGCCGAUGAGGAGGAGAGGGGAGAGCGGAGAGAUGACAUCACCUCCCGCCACGCAAAGCAUUCUGGGAGCUCGGUUGUGGCUCAGAAGGCGGCGUUCUCCUUCCUCAUGCCGAUAGACGUCAGCAACGAGCGCCGGCGUCCGUCAGACAGCGAAUCGGCAAGUGGCUUCUCGGAGGUCGGCCUAUCGACGGCCAGCAUCGCCGAGGCCGGGCGGAGGGAGGGUUCCGAUUGGAGGAGAGCCAGGAGGCCACAGGACGACGCCCCGGGCCCCUGGCUGAAGCCGAACCCGCAGAGGCUGACGAACGUCCUGAUUGGCAGUCGGCUCAGUGGGCGGAGUGAGCUCUCUCUCUGAUUGGCUCGUGCUGAGAAUAUUCUCCUUUUUCAUUCACAGAUUUUUUUAGGCUACUUAUAAGGGCUUUUUUCUAUUGGCCUGCUGAGAGAAGAACCACCUCUUCCUGCGUCUUAUUGGAUGACAGUAGAUGGUCUGUUUCUGAUUGGACGAUGAGAAGAAAGAAGACAAAAGACUUGAUUUUUAUUGGCUGAUGGGCGGGUUUUGAGGCCUCUGAUUGGCCAAUGAUAUAACAGCUUCUCACACAGCCGACAAAUUAACUAACAAUUUGAUUUUGAUUUUACCCAUCAUCCCUCAGUGCAUCCUGAGACCUGUAUCACAGAGCCAGAUCAGCGUUAUCCUGCUAACUUUGGGCUUAACUCUGGUGUCACGACUCUGGUUAACUUCUAACCAACGAACCAAUCAGAUCACUGACAAGGACCAAUAUUGAAGAGCAAUCAAUAUUUUUAUUGGUCGAUAGAGAGAUAAAAUAAUGUUUAAAACAGAUAACAGCUGCAUAUUGAUUAUGUAAUUUAAUGUAAAAUAACCUUUAUUAACACACUGAUAGCAAAUAAAAAGUACAAUUGUCA